ACUUUACAAUGCGAGAAAUCGUGAUAAGGGAACCCCGAGUGCCCGUAAAUUCGGGCUGUCCAUCAGUGUAAAUAACUGGUGAAGAAAGGGCCGGGCAAGACCGGUGCCAGCCGCCGCGGUAAUACCGGCGGCUCGAGUGGUGGCCACUAUUACUGGGCUUAAAGCGUCCGUAGCUGGAUUGUUAAGUCUCUUGGGAAAUCCACCGGCUCAACCGAUGGGCGUUCAGGAGAAACUGGCAAUCUAGGGACCGGGAGAGGUGAGAGGUACUCCAGGGGUAGGAGUGAAAUCCUGUAAUCCUUGGGGGACCACCUGUGGCGUAGGCGCCUCACCAGAACGGCUCCGACAGUGAGGGACGAAAGCUGGGGGAGCAAACCGG
rnacentral:rRNA from 1 species